GGCUCAUUUGUGAGGGAAGUGAAGCUAACCCCUUUGAAUUCAACAGGUCGUAACUAGAGACACACGUGUUGCGCGACGGUUAUGACCUAUCGUCUAGAGGUGUUUCUUUCCAUCAUCGUUAUUAACUGGAUGUCGAUGAAGAGGUCGAUGCCUGUCUACAUUAGAGAACCCGAUCCAGACUCAAAAUCCGUUGCAGACAGACUUCAUUGGGCAAUUCUUCGAGGGAAGAUAGUGACUGUUAACAAAUUGCUUGAUUCUGGUGUUCCUGUUGAAUUGCCUAAUCGAGCUGGUCAAACCCCAUUAUUUUGUGCAUCAUUUCAAGGGCAUUUUGACAUAGUGAAGCUUUUGCUUAAACUUGGUGCUGACCCAAAUAGGCGGUGCUCCAUUCUUUGUUGCACUCCAGUGCAUGCAGCUUGCUGGAGUGGCAAUAAUCAUCUACUCACUUCACUACUGAUUGCAGGAGGCGACCUUCGAUUGCACGAUCAAAAGAACCGCUCACCUCGGGAUUGGGCCACGAUGCAACCAAAUUCUGAUAGCCGCCUCGCCACUCUUUCGUUGAUUGAAUCAUUCCGUCAAAUGGCGAUGAAAAAUAACGAGCUCAAUGUUGACUCUGGGGUUUCCGAAUUAAAUAACAGUACUGCCCCUCGUGCCCACCGUGCUACCCUAAAGUUCCCGGCAAAAUUGCGGAAUACGCUCGCUGCGAUGGGCUUAGUCUGCAGCGAAAAUUGUGAAUUCAUUGGGCCGUUGGGCAACGUUCAAGGCACUGGCUUUGGAAAGAUACUUUAUGGACGAGGAGAAAGUGCAGCUGCGCUGUGGCCUGUUCCCUUAAUUAGUGAAACUGAAAUAAGUGAUCCUGAUGACGAUGGGUGUGGUGCUGAAGCGGAUCUCAAUGGCUUGCUUCCUCGAGGAAUAGCUUACAGGUGUGGUCCAACAACAGAAAUGGUUUCCAGGCGUUGGCACCAAACCCCGGUUACUAUCCGUCGCAUGAGAGAUAAUCAACCACCUGAUCUGUUAUUUGAAGAAUUGCAAAGCAUGAGUCGACUGAGGCAUCCAGGGUUAAUGUUGCUAUUGGGUGUAAGUGCUACACAACACUGGGAGAGCGUUCAGCUUAUAUAUGAGCCUAUAUAUCAUGGGUCACUUCAUCACAGACUACAUAUCAUGGGAUCUGCUAUACCCCUGCUUAAGAAACUACUGAUCCUAGAACAAAUUUGUGAUGCCCUAUUGUUUCUCCAUUCCAAGGAGUUACUGCAUUGCAGCGUUUCGUCGCAUGCCGUUCAUUUGGUAUCUAGAGGUCGAGCCAAGUUAGGCUGUUUGGAAACCUUGAUUGAAGACAAUAACUCAUCCAAGAGGGUGUAUCGUAAAGUUCCGUCUUCUCAUUGGGAAUGGAUGGCACCGUGGUUGGCACCAGAAUGUGCCCGUGGCGAGUCUGUGUGUACUUUGUCCGAUGUGUAUUCGUUUUGCUGUCUUGUUUGGGAGACAUGUUCUGAGAAAUUACCUUGGUCACACCUUGACUGUCAAGAGAUUAACCGCAUGUGGCAGAAAGAAAGUUGCAACAAUUCACGAAUGCUUCCGCUUGGACCUGCCAUCCCUCUUCAUGUUGGGAGUUUCCUCAAUCUGGGCCUUCAACCGGAAUUGUCCGAGCGACGUGAAAUUGAUUUGCAGGAAAUUUAUAUGAUGCUGAGGCUUCAGUCAGCAGUUUCCCACUCACAACAGAAAGAAGUCUAUCAAAAAUCGAACUCUCCACCAAUUGCGCGAAUGACAUCGUCAACACCCGUUCCCCCAAUCUACAAUCAGACGCAGAUACAGCCUCAACACGGAUGGGAUGCAGUAAAGGAGAGUUUCAAGAAAAGGCGAACUCCUCCGCCACCACCACCACCUCUUCCGCCACCCCCGCCAGGGCAGCAGCAGGUUCCGGAAGUGCUGAAUUGUACGCCAGACGAUGGCGAUACAGAGAGCAAUCAAACAGUACCGAAUGAAAAUACUCAAUGCGAUGUUCAGACCGAAUGCAACCAAACUCGGCAACAAUUAACGGUUUACACAACUCCAAGUCCUAAUGACGGUGAAAGGUUUAACUAUGUACCUAUGCCACAUCAGCGCGAAACCAGAAAUAUUCAGAGCUCUGAAUUUGCGAUUAAGCCUGCCAGUCACACAACUGAGCGCCAUUCUAUGAACUGUCUUAUGGCUCAUUCAGAUCGUAGCACAUCUACCUACCAUACACCUCCUUGUCAACGAAACGAGUCGUUCAAAAAUUGUAAUGCGUAUUCGGGUUUUAACAGUGAAAUGCGCGCAACUGUUGCCCAACCGGCGAAAAUUUAUCGCGAGGCAGCGGAAUUUGAAACUUGGCGCGCAAAGAUUGAUGAAGCAAACGAAGAAGAAAAUGCCGAAGAAGAGUCGACGGUUGAAGUUACUGGGCAUCCUUCGUCGACCUCGACUCCGAGGCACCAACACGGAGUGACAUUUUUGGCUUGCAGUUCAGGAUUGGAAGAUCCAGAAAAAGGCGUUGGACCGGAUGACAACGGAGGAGCUAAACCCAAACGUUCGCUCAAAUUUCUGCCGAAUGGAAGCCAACCUUGUUCCUCGCGAAUCCCAAGUUUUUAUACCAUCACGAAACCCAGGAAAGAAUUCGUUGCCUCGUUGACGGCCAUUUUUAACGACAAGGCUGCCACCAAUAGGACUCAUUCAAUCCUCAAACGGCGAUCGACUUCCACCCCGGAGGAGCUCUUGCUUGAACCCAACAUCGGAGAUACGUUUAAUGAGGGUAUCGAUUGCAUUUCACGGGGAGUUCAGUGCAACGAAUGUGAAUGAGGAUCGCGCUUGCCGGAAACAACGUACCAUUAUAGUGCUUUCGAAGCCUCGUCCACGUUCAAUAACCAAUUGAAUAUGUGGUUUGUUGACUACGUCAUAGACCGACUCGACCAAUAGCGGCGCGGUACUAGGUGUGACGAUGUAAGUAAACAAAGUUGACGUGUACGCUUGAACGAAGACAAACGUGGCCAAGCUCCAAACUCCGGCUACCAAACGAGAUGACCAGUGUUUCCGGAUGCAACUUCCUCCUGAGUUUUAAAAGGAACUUUAAUUUGCAUUAAAGGCGAUUGGUAAGUUAGGCGUGUUUGAAGAAUCAAAGUUAAUUUCACUCUUUGAAGACGUCAGAGUAGUCAGGCUAAUGUCGGAAGAUGUUUGCCGGAAUUUUGUGGAUGUUGUAACUGAACAAGUAAGUAAAAAAUAAUUAAAAAUAAUCACCUUGAGAAAGAAGCAUUCCAAACACGUAAAGGUACAUAUUCCAUGGCUCUUUCUUAGUUUGCGUACUACUCGAAUGGUCGCAAAUCUCGUCUGCCUUCUCCGUUUGUUGUGUUGGUGACGGAGAGACUUCCGAGGUCUGAGACAUCGCGAAAGGUGAACGAUCGGAAAACAAGAUUAUUCACACAUGCAAAACUUAGGACGCAUUUACCGGCCAUUGAAAGGGUUUUAUGACAGCGUCGAGAUUCGUCGUGAUGAGUGGAACUGGAACCAUGAAAACAAUAAUGGAACGAUGCCAAGCGUACAAAUAAAUCUCGUUCACGGUGAGAAACGAGUACCUUUGGUUUAUUUUUCAAAGAAUUAUAAGACAUUAAAAGAAGAUUUUGUGACCAAAAAAGAGUUUUACGUGAAAUUGAAUCGUCUGGCCAAGUAGUCCACCAUAAGGCCUCCCUUCUUCGGGCCGAUAUAGGAGCUAUUGUACUCACCUCCACGUCGAGCCUUAAUUCCGUCAGUCACCGAUAACAGUGUUGUGAAAAAUCAAAGGACAUUUAGAUGUUGAUCAGCCAAAGGAUUGUUAACAUGGCCCUGUCUUGUUUUCAGUGAAGAUAGCGGUUCUGCUGAGGAUACCGAUAACGAAAGGAUAAUUACAAAUUGGACCAAAAAGGUGGGUCGUAAUAGCUGCAAUUGUCGGAACAUUGUGCUUGUAUAACGGCGAUCAGUGUUACUGUGGCUAAAUAUCUUGAGCUCCUGAUCCCUUUUAAGGCAAUUUGUGUAUUUAUAGGUAUGUGUCUUAAGUUUCGUGUGUUAGCAACCCGUUGGUUACAAAUUCGAUACAUAUUUUAAAACCAAACAGUCGGAUCAGAUGCAGUAACAACCUCGGUAGAUGCGUUCGCUUAGGCAUUAAUAAUUUGGGAAACUUGUUCGAUCACCAACUGCCAUGACAACACAUUAUACAUGUACUAAAUGCCAUUCGCUUGGUUUUGGGUCGUGCAGAAAACGGAAGAGUUUAAAUGUUGAAUUAUAAAUCAGUCCCAUGUAACUGUCAGGACUUGCUAGGAAGCGAUUUCUUGCAGCUGUAGGCAGCCCUACUUCUACUGCUACGUACGUAAGGUAAAGGUAGCUGAUUAACAUAUUCGAACCACAUGUUCAGACCACUUUUUUGUGACAACCGUUCAAAACGCGAACAAGAACUAAGCAAGAAUAAGGGUACAUCAUAACCAAACAAAUUAUGUAAGACUAUUUUGUUUAAAUAUAAAAAUAUACGGAUGUUCUAGUCCUACCGGAAAGUG